rnacentral:rRNA from 1 species
UACGGAGGGGGCUAGCGUUGUUCGGAAUUACUGGGCGUAAAGCGCACGUAGGCGGCUUUGUAAGUUAGAGGUGAAAGCCCGGAGCUCAACUCCGGAAUUGCCUUUAAGACUGCAUCGCUAGAAUUGUGGAGAGGUGAGUGGAAUUCCGAGUGUAGAGGUGAAAUUCGUAGAUAUUCGGAAGAACACCAGUGGCGAAGGCGACUCACUGGACACAUAUUGACGCUGAGGUGCGAAAGCGUGGGGAGCA